rnacentral:lncRNA from 1 species
CUAUCAACAGGGCUGAAAAACAGUAGCUGGUGUCAAUAAUAAGCCAUGAACACACAAACCAGGUUACGCUGCGGAAAAAGCGUUCUGGAUCUCAAUGGCUUACGAGGUUGUCUCCACAUAUUUACAUGCUAUGUCCAUCGCGAGUGAGCUAUGGCUCUGCUUCACGGCGUCCUGCCUUGGGAUUCGGGCUGACAGAGAAGCUUCUAUCUGGAACACUGGAGCAGAGGGAAAAGAGAGCUUGGCAAAGCCCAAACUGGCUCUUAGAGCUGGACGUGACACACAUUACUUGUCACCUUCCAUUGGCCAAAUCAGGUCGCAUGGCCAAGCCCAACAUGAUUAGGAAGAGAAACUCUUACUCUCCCCUAAGCAGACGCACGGUCACACUUGGAGGGAGAGCUUCAGGUGUACUUGCUGGGAGCCAGUGUGGAAGGUCGCAGGAGAAGACCCUUGUCAUAGCAAGACAACCUGCUGUGAAAGUUGGAGAGCACCAAGACUGCAGCCUGGAGACCAGUUCCAUCCAGUAACAAUCCGCCCUCUGAGGACUAUAGGCUCCCUCAUUGAAGAUCCUGGGUCCAGCCGAAGAACACCGUGUCGGAGGACAAAGUUCAGUUCUCCUCCGAGAGCCCUGCACCUGUGUCCCUCCUGCCAGCACCUGGGGCCCAGGACUGACUCACCGAGUCAACAUCUCUCCCAUCUGCUUGGUGGAUUCCCAAACCCUGACACCGUGUGAAGCCCUUGGAAGACUGGUGGUUUAUUUUACUAAAAAUAAGCUGGAUAUUGAAGCAGCAAGUUGAAACACAAAGCAACGGGGUCAUUGUUUAUUUUGGGAGAAAUAUAAAAAUUCUGUUAAUGCCGUGUGAUUGGUGAUCAGCACCAGAAGGACCAGUGAGGGGCCCUUAGUAAACCCGGCCGCCGGAAGGACCGCGCAGAGGUAUCGUAAACCCUGCCGGGGGUUAUCU